rnacentral:rRNA from 1 species
CUCGUAGGCGGUUCGGCAAGUCGGAUGUGAAAUCUCCACGCUCAACGUGGAGGGGCCAUUCGAAACUGCUGUGACUUGAGUCCGGUAGGGGGGUGUGGAAUUCCCGGUGUAGCGGUGAAAUGCGCAGAUAUCGGGAGGAACACCAGUAGCGAAGGCGGCACCCUGGGCCGGUACUGACGCUGAGGAGCGAAAGCGUGGGGAGCAAACA